AUAACCGUGAAAUAGAUCUAGAUCUAUAACUUCAAUAAGUUUUCAUUAUAAUUUAAAUUUAAGUUUUUUUAUCUACUUAAAUGCUUAUCUUUAACCAGCUUUAUAGAAUAAAAUAGCUACUAACGAUGUGAAUCAGUAAAAUUUGUUUGUUUUGAAAUGAUUCGCCCCACUCUUGAUUCGCCCAACACCCGAUUCGCCCACAUUACUUUUGGAAGAAAAAAAUGAUCAUGUAAUUGUGACAUGUCACAAAAUUUCGGCGUGUGACAUUGCUAAUCAUGAGAAAAGACAUUAUAAAACCAUAUUUUUUUAUAUUUAAUGAUAUAUAAUAUUAUCCUAGACUGGUGUAUCCUGUUGUCUCUUAUUAUCGUGGGGCUAAGUAGUUCUGGCUUCUAAAACUUUAUAAGCCGCUAUUUAACAUUUUUGUUUGUCAUCUGAUGCAGCAUUAAAGUUUAGACCCGUUACGAAACCUAAACGGAAUAACAUAAGUUGAUUUAACCUUAUUUUUCACUUGCAAAUACACUUGACCAAAUCAAUUCUUGUGCAUUUUACAAUAAAACAAUUCUUUUAACAUUGUUCUAUACCAAUUAAAGUAUCGAAAUAUUAAUACCGUCAUUAAAAUUGCCUUUUUAACUGUAAAACAUCAAUAACGCCGACCACAGUGGGCCAUGACAUUUAGGUGCCACGCGAGACCUCGUAUGACAUCAUUCACGGCAGGAUGGAAAAAUGAGAUAAUGCAUUUCAUACAAAACAUCUUAAAUAAAGUACCAGGCAAGAGAAGGCUAGGAGUUUACAGGUUUAUGCCAUUCUUCUUUGUUUAUGGAGCUCUUUUAGAAUUGGCUAUGAUCAAGUGGACUGUGAAUGGUCACAACUUUUGUAA